AACGAACGCUGGCGGCAUGCCUAACACAUGCAAGUCGAACGAGAUCUUCGGGUCUAGUGGCGCACGGGUGCGUAACGCGUGGGAAUCUGCCCUUUGGUUCGGAAUAACAGUUGGAAACGACUGCUAAUACCGGAUGAUGACGAAAGUCCAAAGAUUUAUCGCCAGAGGAUGAGCCCGCGUAGGAUUAGCUAGUUGGUGUGGUAAAGGCGCACCAAGGCGACGAUCCUUAGCUGGUCUGAGAGGAUGAUCAGCCACACUGGGACUGAGGCACGGCCCAGACUCCUACGGGAGGCAGCAGUGGGGAAUAUUGGACAAUGGGCGAAAGCUUGAUCCAGCAAUGCCGCGCGAGUGAUGAAGGCCUUAGGGUUGUAAAGCUCUUUUACCCGGGAUGAUAAUGACAGUACCAGGAGAAUAAGCUCCGGCUAACUCCGUGCCAGCCGCCGCGGUAA
rnacentral:rRNA from 1 species